rnacentral:misc_RNA from 2 species
GAAAUGCGAUAAGUAAUGUGAAUUGCAGAAUUCAGUGAAUCAUCGAAUCUUUGAACGCACAUUGCGCCCGCUGGAAUUCCAGCGGGCAUGCCUGUUCGAGCGUCAUUUCACCCCUCAAGCCUUGCUUGGUGUUGGAGCACUACCGUUUGUAUAAAGCGGUAGGCUCUGAAAUUCAGUGGCGGGCUCGCUAAGACUCUGAGCGUAGUAGUUUAUCACCUCGCUUUGGAAGGAUUAGCGGUGCUCUUGCCGUAAAACCCCCCAACUUCUGAAUUUUGACCUCGGAUCAGGUAGGAAUACCCGCUGAACUUAA